UUUCCAAUCAGUCGAAAUAAGAAAGGAAUUUGGUGACUUUAUUAGUAGGACAACUCUUUUAUUCCUAAGCUUAGCAAUCCCCUUCAAUAGAGAAAAAAAGGUUUGAUUUUGAGGGUUAUACUGACUGCGCUGGUUGUGUGGCUGCUGGCUUUAGAGUUCAGCAACAGUUGAUAGCAAUUGAUGAAAACCUAGUUGAAAAACAGAGACAAUUGAUGUUGUGAUUACGUUAGACGAUCGCUUACCUCUUUCACUUCAAAUUAGGUCAAACAAAGGUAAGUUUAUUUCUCUAUUUUCUUAUAGUGAAGUCUUUAUAUGUAAUGUAAUGGUGGUAUUAUUUGCUUUAGAAGGCUUUUAAAGUCAUAGAUUUUGUGAUGAUUAGAUGGUGUGAGAGGGACAUGUGAUGCCUCUACCUAUUAGCUUUAUUAAAUUUAUUAAAUCAUCUGACUUAUAUUACAAUUGAGAAUGUGAACUAGCAAUUAGAAAAUGGUUUAAUAUAGUCACUUCAAAUGUAAAGUUAUGAUUUGAAAAUGAUUAAGUGUAGUUACUUGAAAUUGUGAACUUCACUUGAAAAUGGUUAAUUAAAUGGGUACUUGAAAUUGUGAACUUGUGACUUGAAAAUGCUUAAGUGUAGCUACUUGAAAUGUGAAGUUAACAACUUGAAAAUGCUUAAGUGUAGUUACUUGAAAUUGUGACCUUGUGACUUGAAAAUGGUUAAGUGUAGCUACUUGAAAUAUGAAGUUAAUGACUUGAAAAUACUUAAGUGUAGUUUACUUGAAAUUGUGACCUUGUGACUCCAAAAUGGUUAAGUGUAGCUAUUUGAAAUUGUGAACUUGUGACUUGAAAAUGCUUAAGUGUUUCUACUUGAAAUGUGAAGUUAAUGACUUGAAAAAGCUUAAGUGUAGCUACUUGAAAAUGAUUUAAGUGUAUUCACUUGAUAUCUGAACUAAUGACGAGAUUUUUUUAUGUUUUAAUGUAAAGUUGCAUAUUAUUGAAUAUCUAAAUUUUUGUAGAUGGAUCAUCGUCUGUGGAUGUUUGAUAUGGAUUAUGAAAAUGUUGGUGGUUUAAAACCCCAAUAUCUUGAUGGCAUUAGAGGUUUUAUCGAUCAUGCGAUGUCACUAGAUCUACUUUAUAAAAAUGGAGUGGUUAGGUGUCCUUAUAGUUCAUGUAGAUGCUUAAAGUUUUUUUCACUAGAUAUAGUUAUAACUUAUCUCUAUUGUAUUAGAUUUAAGCCAAGAUACUGUGUGUGGAUCAAUCACGGAGAAAGAGAUAGUUUGAAUGGUAUAUUUUAUAAUUCUUUGCCUGUGGAUGAAUAUGACAUGCUUGUACAUGGUCGACAUGCUAGGAUUCAACAUGCUAGAGUUCAAUAUAGGGUGCAACACGAUAGAGUACAAUACGAGUAUAGGAUUCAUGAAAUGGUCAAUGAUAUUUUUGGUAUUGGGGAUAGGAUGGAACCCGAGCAGAAUUUAGAAGAAGAUCCCAAUGAAGAAGCAAGAGGUUUCUAUCAACAAUUAGAAAAGGCUAGUCACCCACUAUGUGAAGGGAGUAUGCAUUCUGCUUUAUCUAUUGCAGUUAGAUUACUGAGUAUCAAAUCUAAUUGGAAUAUUGCUCAAGCUGCUCUAGACUCUAUGGCUGGUCUUUUGGGUGAACUAGUAAAUCCAGAGUUGAACAUACCUCAGAAUUUUUAUCAAGCAAAGAAAUUGGUUCCCAAGUUGGGAUUGUCAUAUAAUAGAAUCCAUUGUUGUAUAAAUGGUUGUAUGUUGUUCUAUAAGAAUGAUGCUAAAUUAGAAAAUUAUAAGUUUUGUGGACAUGCUCAUUAUAAGCGGACUCCCGAUGGAAAGAUGGUUUCUAUUAAGGCGAUGCACUAUUUACCUCUUAUACCUAGGCUAAAGAGGUUGUAGGCUUCGAUGAGUUCUGCCUCGCACAUUAAAUGGCACCAUGAAAAUAGACGUCCACCAAGUGUCUUAUCUCAUCCAUCAGAUAGAGAAGCUUGGAAUCACUUCGAAAAACUUAUCUAAUUUUGCUAGUAAACCAAGAAAUGUCAGAUUAGGGUUAUGUGCAGAUGGUUUCACACCAUUCUUUAAUUCUGGCACACCUUAUUAUUGUUGGCCUGUAUUUAUUACUCCAUAUAAUCUUUCACCUAAAAUAUGCAUGACAAGUCCCUACAUAUUUCUAAGUUGUAUUAUUUCAAGUCCCCGCAAUCCAAAAAGUUUGAUCAAUGUAUAUCUCCAUCCAUUGAUAAAUGAAUUACUACAAUUAUGGCAUGAAGGUGUAGAGAUAUAUGAUAUAUCAACUAAGCAGAAUUUUGUUAUGCGUACCAAUUUAAUGUGGACUAUUAGCGAUUUUUAUGCAUAUGGGAUGUUGUCUGAUUGGAUGACUGCUGGAAAGUUAGCUUGCCCAUAUUGCAUGAAAAAUAGCAAAGCAUUCACUUUAAAGUAUGGUCAAAAAAAUUCUUGGUUUGAUUGUCACUGCUAGUUCUUACCAAUGGACCACGAGUUUAGAAGGAUGAAAAAUGCAUUCAGAAAAAAUAAGAUUAAGAAUGAUUCGCUACCUCCAUUAUUGUUAGGACAUCAGAUUUGGGAGAGAGUUUGUAAUUUGCCUAAAGUUACAGAUGGUCCAUCUUCUAUACUUCCUGGAUAUGGUGUUGAACAUAAUUGGACCAAACACGGCAUAUUUUGGGAGUUGCCAUAUUGGGGGGACAAUAAACUAAGACAUAAUCUUAAUCCGAUGCACAUUGAAAAAAAUUAUUUUGAUAAUUUAUUCAACACAGUCAUGGAUGUUAAGGGCAAGACAAAAGAUAAUUCCAAAGCUAGAAUGGAUAUAAGGGAGUAUUGCAAGAGAAAGGAAUUGUGGUUGAAGGAAAAAUAAAAUGGUAAAUUGUUUAAGUCCAAGACCAAUUUUUCAUUCAUAUUAGAUAAGAAGCGGUAAAUAUGUGAGUGGGUUCAGAAUUUGAGGAUGUCUGAGGGCUAUACUUCAAAUUUAGGAAAAUAAGAGGAUAUGGAAUAAGGGAAGUUGAUUGGUAUGAAAAGCCAUGAUUGUCACAUUUUUAUGGAAACCUUGAUUCCUAUCGCAUUUAACCACCUUCCUGAGAGUAUAUAGAAACCAAUCACAGAGAUAAAUUUUUUCUUUAAAGAUUUAUGUUCAGGAAAGUUGUUGAAGAGUAGCUUGGACACAAUGAAGCAGAAUAUUCCUGUCAUCACUACUAAGUUGGAGAAGAUCUUUCCAUAUGGCUUUUUUGAUGUGAUGGAGCAUCUUCCAAUUCACCUCAUAGAAGAGGCACGUCUUGGAGGCCCAGUUCAAAUGAGGUGGAUGUAUCCAGGAGAGAGGAAAAUUAGCGAGUGCAAACAAACUAUUAAGCAAAGGGGAAAGAUUGAAGGAUCGAUUUGUGAAGCUUAUCUUGCAAAAGAAACUGCUUAUUUUUUUCUUACUACUUUGGGGAUGAAGUGUCAUGCAAGAGAAAUAGGUCCAAUCGUAAUGAUGAAGGUGAUGGUGAUCUUAUAUUUCCACCUAUAUCGAUUUUUAAUAAUUCAGGUAGAGAAUUUAAAAGUUAUUGUAAGCGAGCCCUCACUGGGAUGGAAAGAAAAUUAUUGUGACACAUGUUUUGCUCAAUUGUCCAGAGAAUCAACCAUAUCUUGAUUUAUUCAUUGGAAAAUGGGGUAAUGAUGCCAUAUAUAUGAGGUUUUCCGAUUGGCUGGAAGAAUACGUUUGGGAUGAACAUAGUACCAUCGAACAUUUUCCAUUGGUGAUGUUGACGGUAAUGGUCAAAUCGUUGAAUAUUUUGGUGUCAUACAAGAGAUAUUAGAAGUCAGGUACCCUGGUUGGCCAAAAAAGAAGAUAAUUGUAUUUCGGUGCAAUUGGUUUGAUCCAUCACAUAGAGGUACCAGGGUAAAUCAAUAGCACAAUAUAAUUGAAGUUAAGCACACGAGGCAAUAUAAUCGUUAUGAUCCUUUUAUCAUUGCACAAAAUGCCAAGCAGGUAUAUUGUGCUAUAUAUCCAUUGCAUAGAGAUAAAGUAAAUUGGUGGGUGGUUAUAAAGACUAAGCCUGUGGGGAGAAUUGAGAUUGAGAAUGUGUCAGAUGUGGCAUACCAGAACAAAGUCGCAGUUGUUGAUCAAAUAGUGGAUGAUGAGUUGGAAAACAAUCUAGAACAUCCUCAAUGCAUAUUAGAAGAAGUUUUUGAUGAUGAGAUAAUUGACAUCGUAAAUACAAUGGAAGAAAUAGAUGAGGGAAUGAAUCAUUCUGGGAGGACGAAUGGGACUAUGAAAAUAAAUCAAGGGAUAAGAAAGAAUGGGAGACUGAUGGAAAUGAAACAAGCGAUGAGGAAGAUUGAGAGAAUAAAGAUUAGCUAGUUUUUUUUUAUUACCACUAGUUAUUGUAUUGUAUUUUAUUGGUUAGAGUUUUUUGAGAUUACUUAUUUGUACUAGUUAUCUUUUUAGCCUAAACUUUGUUUACUGGUGUACAUGCUACUUUCUCUAUUUGUUGCUUGAAUUGGAUAUUCUGACUGAGGAAGUUCCACUUACUGGUGUA